GUCAUUCCUCUCACAGAGGAACUUAAGCCUCUGAGCUCUCUUGUGCAUGAAAACACCAUCCAGGUGGCCCGUUUCAACAGAGCGGAUCUCAAUGGCUUUCUCUCCCCAGCCCAUGAUCUGGUUGGAGUGGAUAUAAGC